rnacentral:rRNA from 1 species
UAAGGAAUAUUGGACAAUGGCCGCAAGGCUGAUCCAGCCAUCCAGCGUGCAGGAAGAAGGCCCUAUGGGUUGUAAACUGCUUUUAUCAGGGAAGAAACCUCUGGAUUCACUCCGGAGCUGACGGUACCUGAAGAAUAAGCACCGGCUAACUCCGUGCCAGCAGCCGCGGUAAUACGGAGGGUGCGAGCGUUAUCCGGAAUUACUGGGUUUAAAGGGUGCGUAGGCGGCUUUGUAAGUCAGGAGUGAAAGUUUGCAGCUCAACUGUAAAAUUGCUUCUGAUACUGCAAGGCUGGAAUCAGGAUGAGGUCAGCGGAAUGUGGCAUGUAGCGGUGAAAUGCAUAGAUAUGCCAUAGAACACCAAUUGCGAAGGCAGCUGGCUAGACCUGUAUUGACGCUGAGGCACGAAAGCGUGGGGAGCGAACAGG